rnacentral:lncRNA from 1 species
UUUCUUUUCUCUCCAGUUCUUUCUUUCUUUCUUUCUUCCUUUCUUUUGCCUUCCUAAGUUUUGGAUGUAGUUGUGUUUUUGUACAAAACAAUAAAAUCAAAGGUCGACAUAAAUCUCCCAUCAUGAUCGCAUCUUAUCCUAAGUGAAUUAGAACCUAUAACCAGAUCAUGUCUUCAAUCCAAUCAAAGUCAAUUAUGAUCAUUACAAUUUUUUAACAUUAAUUUGUUAAUAUUUGAUUGAUCGAUAAUUUCAGAUCUCUUUGAGAAAAAGGGAGGAAGGUUUAUCCGUACUAUAAUUACUUACAAGCUCCAAUACUUGGGAGUUGUACUGCUUAGGAUUCUAAUCUAGAAUUUCUAGGCAAGCCCCAGCCUAUGAGAUGUAUCACUUUCUUUAUAUUGGUUGAGAUAAUGACAACAAUGUGGCA